ensembl:lncRNA
AUGGCUGGGAAGCCCCAGGAAACAAUCAUGGCGAAAAGUGAAGGAGAAACAGGACCAAUCUUCACUUGUUGGAGCAGAAAAGAGAGGUUUGCUCUUGAAUGUAGCCGCCCUGUCUGUGGAGGGGCUCACAUAGAAAGGAACAGCACAGCAGCACUCACGUGCAAGGCAAGGAGUGAAACUUCGUGGGAUCUGAUCCACCGGCCCCAGUUCAGCUGCGCUAGCUGACAUCACCAUUUCCGCCAGACAAAGCAGAUGGACAGGGCAGAAACAAACUCUUUCUGCCAAGCCCUGAUGAAAAUGUACAAACCAAAUUAAUGACUGUUACUGUGUUAAAGCAUGAUACUUUGAAUUUUCUACACUGCACUAGAUAACUGACACAAACUCUAUUAUGACGGUAUCACGUGAAAAAAAUAUAUUAACUUACACGUAAUAUAUACACCGAUCUUAGAUCUUCACCAGUCUCUGGGGUAGAAAAUCGAGGGUAUAGUACAAUAUUUGAAAAAAGCUAAAGGAAGCACCCAAGUCCCCAGGUAAUGGAGCGGUGAAAGUAGCAUUCUUUGUGCUCAUGCCCAGUGCACUGCCCCGUGCGGCAGUUAAUGUGGCCCUGCUUAGAGUCACGUAGAUUUAAAACAGCCAAUGCUGCCUCAGCUACUGUUUACAAAACACACGAAUAACUUGAAUCGUUAUAUUUGCUCUAAAUAAACAUUGCAUUAGAGAUGAUUUUGAUAAGAUUACCAAAACUACCCAAAAGGGUAAGCUAACACUCUCCUUUGUACACGAUGCCAUCAGUAACAUAAUAAAUCAAAGCCAUUCAUAAUCUAAUCAUCUAUGGCAGGAAGUUGGCUGGAAAGUUUAUAAAAACCGAAUUACCAAGAGCAUUAUUUAAAAUAAAAUUUGUAUCAGAUUUUUCAUAAUGAUCCCUGUCUUUUGUACGUAUUGUAACUUCAGAUAUUAUUUAUGUUUGAACAGAAAAUACAUUUUAAAGAAAAAUUUAAAAGCCAGCUACUUGAAAGGCUGAGGCAGGAGAAUUACUUGAAAACAGGAGCCACAGCUUGCAGUGAGCCAAGAUACUGCACUGGAGAUUACAGGCUGGAGUGAGCCAAGAUACUGCACUCCAGCCUGGGCGACAAGAGCAAAGCUCUGUUAAAAAAGCCAGGAACACGGCCGGGCGCGGUAGCUCACGCCUGUAAUCCCAGCACUUUGGGAGGCCGCGGCGGGUGGAUCAUGAGGUCAACAGAUCGAGACCAUCCUGGUCAACAUAGUGAAACCCCGUCUCUACUAAAAAUACAAAAAAUUAGCUGGGCAUGGUGGCGCGUGCCUGUAAUCCCAGCUACUCAGGAGGCUGAGGCAGGAGAACUGCCUGAACCCAGGAGGCGGAGGUUGCGGUGAGCCGAGAUGGCGCCAUUGCACUCCAGCCUGGGUAACAAGAGCAAAACUCCGUCUCAAAAAAAAAAAAAAAACCAACAACAACAACAACAAAAAGCCAGGAACACAAAGCUAAUUCCCAACAAUUAUUUUAGGUAUUAUUUAUAAUUAUGUGAUAUUAAAUACAUUAAUUUAAAAACACACUGGACUUAGUAGUAAACAGCUA